AGCAGUAGCCACGGUAAUACGAAGGGGGCUAGCGUUGUUCGGAAUUACUGGGCGUAAAGCGCACGUAGGCGGAUAUUUAAGUCAGGGGUGAAAUCCCGCAGCUCAACUGCGGAACUGCCUUUGAUACUGGGUAUCUUGAGUAUGGAAGAGGUUAGUGGAAUUGCGAGUGUAGAGGUGAAAUUCGUAGAUAUUCGCAGGAACACCAGUGGCGAAGGCGGCUAACUGGUCCAUAACUGACGCUGAGGUGCGAAAGCGUGGGGAGCAAACAGGAUUAGAUACCCCUGUAGUCCCUGUCUCUUAUAC
rnacentral:rRNA from 1 species